rnacentral:rRNA from 1 species
ACAGCCCUACGGGAGGCAGCAGUAGGGAAUCUUCCGCAAUGGACGAAAGUCUGACGGAGCAACGCCGCGUGAGUGAUGAAGGCUUUCGGGUCGUAAAACUCUGUUGUUAGGGAAGAACAAGUGCUAGUUGAAUAAGCUGGCACCUUGACGGUACCUAACCAGAAAGCCACGGCUAACUACGUGCCAGCAGCCGCGGUAAUACGUAGGUGGCAAGCGUUAUCCGGAAUUAUUGGGCGUAAAGCGCGCGCAGGUGGUUUCUUAAGUCUGAUGUGAAAGCCCACGGCUCAACCGUGGAGGGUCAUUGG